rfam:Pongo abelii chromosome 15.
ACAGGUAGUGUCCCUCAGGGCUGUAGAACAGGGUUGGAUUACUAAAGCCCUGUUCUAUGCCCUGAGGGACACUGAGCAUGU